GUAAAAAUGAAUUCCUGGAGUAGACAGAACCCUCUGCAAAUGUGUGCAGAUGAACCUGGGGAUCUCUCCCCAGCCUGUGACAGUAGCACCUCCAACCGCGUGCUCCUGUUGUGUGCCAUUAUCUCCUGUUUCCUUAACCUAGAGCUCUCUCUUUUCUUUUUCCUGAGUGCAGCAGGCACCUCAAUCAUCUGUUACGUGGCUUUGAUCCAGCAAUUGGAGACGUGCUGUGGAGUAAUCCUCAGAAAACCUGGGGUAAUGGGAUGGGGAGAGGACACAGUGCUACAUUAAUAUUACAUAUUAAUAUUACUACGUAUGAUCUCCACUUUCCUUUCACAUUUGAGGGCCCAACCAACCAGCACAAAGCAACAGUUGAAGAAGUAGAAAAGGUGCACUUUGGAAACAUCAUUAAUGGCACGGGAAGGCUUGUGGGCCGGUGUAUGAGGCCAGGAGGAGAUGGCACAAAGGGAGAUCCCAUGAGCAGCUGAGAGAAUUCGGACAGAUGUGUGAAGCUGAGGUGGGUGCGUUCCUCCCUGACCCAUGCUGUAUCCCUUAAGCCAUCUCAACUGCUCCUUAGAAGCAGUGAUCAUUAAACAUUUGCCAAGUUGAUUUUGCUCUGCAUCUCUGAAUGUGAAGACUUGGGUUUUCCAUACCACAGAAGGUGGAAGGUUGCUAUCACCCCAUGAUUUCACACUGUUGUGCAAGGUUCUCAUGGUGUUGCAUGAAGUGGGGGAAAGGAUAUUAGAAUGCUGGUAGAGUCCAUGAGACAGAGUCAUCAUCUUCAAGGUGACGACGAUACAGAUUUCUGAGGAUACUGGGAGCUGAACAGCAAGAUCAUCAAAGCAAUUGUAACGUUUAUGGCCUCUCAAUUCUCCAGGAGUAUAUGGAGGUACAGACACAGUGCUAUUACCUUGGGGAAACCAUUAAAGGUUGCUUCGUGCUAUGCUAAGGACUUUUAUUCAUCAAGAGUAAUUACCUCUAUCUUGAUAAGAAGUGAGAAGAUGACAGUAAGAACUACUGUGUCACAUCAGGUGCCUCUGAAAAUCUCCAAGUAAUGCUCGUAGAGAGGUGAUGGUGGCAGCAGCAUCACUACCUCAGCUGGAAUGAGAGCUCCAGAAUUAUUGUGGGCAUAUCCCAAGGUUUCAGCUAGCAAGAACCCUGGUGGGUCUACCUGGCAUUGUCUACUCCAUUGGACUCCCAGAAGCUGCUCUGCCAUCUGUCCGUACCCUGAAUAUCAUCGGCCUGUUAUAAGCACAAGUCAGAGCGACUACAAAGAAGAAACGAAGGAAGAAAUGCAUCUGGGCUUGUAUCCAAUUGGAUUACUGUCAACCUCAUCCAGCUGAGAAGGGAAAAGACAGAUGUACUGAUGGUCACCGAAAUGAGAUGGAACAAAAGACAACAACCUGAGCAGAGACGAAAAGCAGUCAAGACCAAAGGUUUCUUCGACUCCAAACCACAGCCACGUCUCCAUCAUACAGACCAUCCUUUGCAACUUCAGCUUGUGUCAAACAUCCCCUUUGGCAAAACAGCUCUUGCAAUGGAGCUAUCUCCACGUGUCUGCCUUCCACCACCCACGAGACACUGACCUCCAUCGGUCCCCAGCCCUGCUGCAAGAUAGCACCAAGGUGGUCUGCAAAAGGAAGUUGGGUAUCCACCAGGACAGCUGUGUGGGUUGGGCCAGACCUGCAAGGAGUUUAUCUGCGUUGCUCCAUUCCUAAUUGCCAUCCCGACCCUUUGGGGUGAGUUCGCAUCCACCCCACACUGCUGAGAUUGCUCUGCUUCAGCAUCAGCGCUGCUUUCCCAGGAAGGUCAGAGAUCUCUGUGCCUGCAGAGCACGGUGCUGGGGAUUUGCAAGUGAAAACAGCAAAACGAGCAAUUGAAGGGGGAAAAUGGUUAUUAUUCAAAUUCCAUUUCCUGAUUACCAGCAUGCUAUCUCCUGAUUUAGAAUCAGGCAGUCCCUGGAGUCUCCCUGCUCAUCAAUUAUUUUUUCCCCUACCUACCAAAGCCAACCUAGUGGGUACAAGAGAGGCAUCAGGGCUCACCAGCAGUGUUGUGGUUCUUUUGUUUCCUGAAAAAAGGCUCUCUGUGUGUGACCACAGUGUGGCUCUGGAUUACGGUGUGUAUCUUCCACUGCACUUCAUAUAUAGGAGUGAGCCUAAAUAUGAAUUUGGUACGUUGUGAGUGAUCAGCAUUGCUCUGCUCUUCUCCAUAACAGACAUUUCAUUGGUCAUUACAGCUAAAGGCACCUCCCAGUGACACUCAACUCCCUUGAAAGCUCUCUUUUCAUUCCCCAGUCCACUGUCUACAGCUAGAGACUGGGAAACCCAGCAUGGCUAACAGCACUAGAGGCAGGCAGGGGGAAGGCAGAGUUUGCCUUGAGGGCAGUCCUGAUGUUUUGUAAGGAAACUGUGGGGCUGAACUGAACCUUUGCUGAAAUACAGCAUAUUUUGCCACUGAUCUGCAUCCUCGGGUCUGAUCUGGAAUAAUCUCAGGCUUCCUUUGUGUGCCAGCAAUUGGAUUAUUCUGCUUCUGCUCACAGAGCCCUGCAUGGGGCUGAGCCCCGGGGCGCUGCCACGAGCCCUCCCAGAGCUGACUGCAAACUCUGCAGCACAUUUCUGAUAGAAAGAAAUGCAAAUGUGGCAGAACUUCCCACUGCCCUGCUCAGAAGCCAUGGCAGGCUCUGAUUUCUGUAAGACACAGGUGCUAAUUACUGGAAACGCUUCCCUGAGAAGUACCAGUCCCCUAAGGGGAAGUGUUGGGGGAGGCAUUAUUUUCCAUCUAAUCUAUUAAAUUUAGAAGCUAGGAUGGCUGCCACCUGGGAGACCCCUGUGAUUAUUGACUUAUGCAAGCACACUAAUUUCCAGCACUACCUUGUCUUCUCUCUCCUCCCCCUGCAUUAUCUCCAUUUAUGCCAGCUGCAUAUUACCAAAAUUGUAGACUUUUUAGGUACUGUGCAAACACCCAGGAGACCUGGCAGGCUUCAGCUGUGACAAACUGCACUGAGAGGGACAAAGCCAGGAUGUACAAACAGGCAGCCAGGUAGGAAAGAACAGGACCAAACGUGAGAAUAAUGACAGGCCUCAAGUCUUGGUCUCACAUCUCCAGGCUUCUGUAGUUCUAUAAAACCAGAGUGAAAAAAAUCAAGUUAAAAUCUUUGGGACUUUCUAGUUCUUCCCAAACAUUUACUCCCCCAGCCACCACGAUGCUGGUAACCUGCUUUCUAUAUGGGCUCUACCAUCUUUCAUAUGUGCUCUACCAUCUUCCAUAUGGGCUCUGCCAUCUCCUAUAUGUGCUUUGCCAUCUUCUCUAUGGGCUCUACCAUCUUCUAUACAAGCUCUGCCAUUUUCUAUGUGUACUUUGCCAUCUUCUAUAUGGGCUCUACCAUCUUUCAUAUGUGCUCUACCAUCUUCCAUAUGGGCUCUGCCAUUUUCCACACGUGCUUUGUCAUCUUCUAUGCGGGCUCUACCAUCUUCUCUCUGUGCUCUUCCAUCUUCUCUAUGGACCCUGCCAUCUCCUAUAUGUGCUUUGCCAUCUUCUAUGAGCUCUGCCAUCUUCUAUAUGUGCUCUACCAUCUUCUAUAUGGGCUCUACCAUCUUUCAUAUGUGCUCUACCAUCUUCCAUAUGGGCUCUGCCAUUUUCUAUACGUGUGCUUUGUCAUCUUCUGUAUGGCCUCUACCAUCUUCUCUGUGUGCUCUUCCAUCUUCUCUAUGGGCUCUGCCAUUUUCCAUACGUGCUUUGUCAUCUUCUAUAUGGGCUCUACCAUCUUCUAUACAAGCUCUGCCAUUUUCUAUGUGUACUUUGCCAUCUUCUAUAUGUGUUCUACCAUCUUCUAUAUGUGCUUUGCCAUCUUCCAUGUGCGUAUUGUUGCAUACACCUACUCAUAUGCCUUCAGAGAGCUUUCUACCCAAGGUGGCCUUGUUCUGUAGCAAUAAGUGCACAUGCUCCAUGGCUCCACGUAACCCAAAUAGUCCUCUAAUGGCUGAGUAAUACGCUUCCACUCCGUAUAUCACCGUGCCAUUGAUUUCAAUGGGCUUUGGAUUGGACAGUAAGUCUUUACGAUGUGUUUUACUUCUCACUUCCUAGCUCCUUGCCUUUUUCUUUUUUUUUCCCUUGGUUUAAUGGGGGCCUUUCCACGUUACUUUAACAAAGUUUUAUGUGUUUUAAUUUUCUUUUAUUACUUUGUAGCCGAUUUCCAACUGCUUCACGAGACAAGUCAAUGAGACAGAGCUCCUAAUAAACCUGCAUUCAUCAAUGCCUUGUUUUACUCUCUUUCAUCUCUAACUACCAUCCAAUCACUUGGACAACUGGUGCUUCUGAGCUUGCAAUUAGACCCAUGCUUUCUACUGCUGAUGAAGGAAGAUUAAUUAAAUCAGUGCUUUUCAAGGCUAGAACGAAUGAGGGAACAUUUUUGGCAUUUUUAUCCUUGCUUUAAACCUGUAGCCUAUUAAUUUAAGACACCUGGCACAGAACUAACAUUUUGCCCUGAUAGAAAACAAUAAACUGAGAUUUAUACACUGG
ensembl:lncRNA